rnacentral:tRNA from 1 species
GAGCUGUGGCUCAGUGGUAGAGCACUUGCCUAGCAACAACGGUCCAUGGACAACAAUAUAAAAAAAAAUACACUGGAAAAGCCCUGGUUUUCAAAGUAAGUUCAAUUAAAAAAAAAAAAAAAUUAUUGGGGCUGGAGGUACAGAUCAGUGACAUUAAGUGCUUAGCAUAUGCAAGGCCCUGGGUUCAAUACCCAGUACUCA